AUUGAACGCUGGCGGCAGGCCUAACACAUGCAAGUCGAGCGGAUGAAGGGAGCUUGCUCCUGGAUUCAGCGGCGGACGGGUGAGUAAUGCCUAGGAAUCUGCCUGGUAGUGGGGGAUAACGUCCGGAAACGGGCGCUAAUACCGCAUACGUCCUGAGGGAGAAAGGGGGGGAUCUUCGGACCUCACGCUAUCAGAUGAGCCUAGGUCGGAUUAGCUAGUUGGUGGGGUAAAGGCCUACCAAGGCGACGAUCCGUAACUGGUCUGAGAGGAUGAUCAGUCACACUGGAACUGAGACACGGUCCAGACUCCUACGGGAGGCAGCAGUGGGGAAUCUUGGACAAUGGGCGAAAGCCUGAUCCAGCCAUGCCGCGUGUGUGAAGAAGGUCUUCGGAUUGUAAAGCUCUUUAAGUUGGGAGGAAGGGCAGUAAGUUAAUACCUUGCUGUUUUGACGGUACCAACAGAAUAAGCACCGGCUAACUUCGUG
rnacentral:rRNA from 1 species